UCCCUGGUGGUCCAGUGGUUAGGACUCUGUGCUCUCACUGCAGAGGGCCUGGUUUCGAUCCCCGGUCAGGGAA